rnacentral:rRNA from 1 species
AACGUAGGGGACAAGCGUUAUCCGGGUUUACUGGGCGUAAAGCGCCCGUAGGCGGCCUGACAAGUUGGACGUGAAAGCUCCUGGCUUAACUGGGAGAGGCCGUUCAAAACUGUCAAGCUAGAGUCUGGAAGAGGAGAGCGGAAUUCCCGGUGUAGUGGUGGAAUGCGUAGAGAUCGGGAGGAACACCAGUGGCGAAGGCGGCUAACUGGUCCAGCACUGACGCUGAGGUGCGAAAGCGUGGGGAGCAAACAGG